UACGUAGGGUGCAAGCGUUGUCCGGAAUUAUUGGGCGUAAAGAGCUCGUAGGCGGCUCGUCGCGUCGACCGUGAAAACCUACCGCUUAACGGUGGGCUUGCGGUCGAUACGGGCGGGCUAGAGUUCGGUAGGGGAGACUGGAAUUCCUGGUGUAGCGGUGAAAUGCGCAGAUAUCAGGAGGAACACCGGUGGCGAAGGCGGGAUCCUGGGCCAGUACUGACGCUGAGGAGCGAAAGCGUGGGGAGCAAACAGG
rnacentral:rRNA from 1 species